AUGCUGUGAUGUUCACUAUCAACACAUCAUUCUGAAAAGUUGUGUGGAAGAUUUCUGACUGAGCACC